rnacentral:tRNA from 1 species
GCGGACGUGGCGGAAUGGCAUACGCGCAUGCUUGAGGUGCAUGUCCCGCAAGGGGUGGAGGUUCGAGUCCUCUCGUCCGCA